rnacentral:rRNA from 1 species
AUUGAACGCUGGCGGCAUGCUUUACACAUGCAAGUCGAGCGGCAGCGCGGGCUUCGGCCUGGCGGCGAGUGGCGAACGGGUGAGUAAUACAUCGGAACGUGCCCAGUAGUGGGGGAUAGCUCGGCGAAAGCCGGAUUAAUACCGCAUACGACCUGAGGGUGAAAGCGGGGGAUCUUCGGACCUCGCGCUAUUGGAGCGGCCGAUGGCAGAUUAGCUAGUUGGUGGGGUAAAGGCCUACCAAGGCGACGAUCUGUAGCUGGUCUGAGAGGACGACCAGCCACACUGGGACUGAGACACGGCCCAGACUCCUACGGGAGGCAGCAGUGGGGAAUUUUGGACAAAGGGCGAAAGCCUGAUCCAGCAAUGCCGCGUGUGUGAUGAAGGCCUUCGGGUUGUAAAGCACUUUUGGCGGGAACGAAAAGGACUGUGCCAAUACCACGGUUCGAUGACGGUACCCGCAGAAUAAGCACCGGCUAACUACGUG